AGAUGUGCUCGUAGAGUAACGAGCAGGGUAAACAAAGAAAUGCUCAUUAAGA
rnacentral:ncRNA from 1 species